rnacentral:rRNA from 1 species
UACACUCCUACGGGAGGCAGCAGUGGGGAAUUUUGGACAAUGGGCGAAAGCCUGAUCCAGCAAUGCCGCGUGCAGGAUGAAGGCCUUCGGGUUGUAAACUGCUUUUGUACGGAACGAAAAAGCUCCUUCUAAUACAGGGAGCCCAUGACGGUACCGUGAGAAUAAGCACCGGCUAACUACGUGCCAGCAGCCGCGGUAAUACGUAGGGUGCGAGCGUUAAUCGGAAUUACUGGGCGUAAAGCGUGCGCAGGCGGUUAUGUAAGACAGAUGUGAAAUCCCCGGGCUCAACCUGGGAACUGCAUUUGUGACUGCAUGGCUAGAGUACGGUAGAGGGGGAUGGAAUUCCGCGUGUAGCAGUGAAAUGCGUAGAUAUGCGGAGGAACACCGAUGGCGAAGGCAAUCCCCUGGACCUGUACUGACGCUCAUGCACGAAAGCGUGGGGAGCAAACAGGAUUAGAAACCCGAGUAGUCCCAUGA